GUACUUGCCUGGGCAGUACAUAUAUUAAAAUUGGAACAAUACGGAGAAGAUUAUCAUGGCCCCUGUAUAAGGAUGAUAAACAAAUUCAUGAAGUAUUCCAUAUUUUA
ensembl:snRNA U6 U6 spliceosomal RNA